rnacentral:rRNA from 1 species
GAUGAACGCUAGCUACAGGCCUAACACAUGCAAGUCGAGGGGAAACGGCAUUGAGUGCUUGCACUCUUUGGACGUCGACCGGCGCACGGGUGAGUAACGCGUAUCCAACCUUCCCAUUGCUGUGGGAUAACCUGCCGAAAGGCAGACUAAUACCGCAUAGUCUUCGUUGACGGCAUCAGAUAUGAAGUAAAGAUUUAUCGGUAAUGGAUGGGGAUGCGUCUGAUUAGCUUGUUGGCGGGGUAACGGCCCACCAAGGCGACGAUCAGUAGGGGUUCUGAGAGGAAGGUCCCCCACAUUGGAACUGAGACACGGUCCAAACUCCUACGGGAGGCAGCAGUGAGGAAUAUUGGUCAAUGGACGGAAGUCUGAACCAGCCAAGUAGCGUGCAGGAUGACGGCCCUAUGGGUUGUAAACUGCUUUUGUAUGGGGAUAAAGUUAGGGACGUGUCCCUAUUUGCAGGUACCAUACGAAUAAGGACCGGCUAAUUCCGUGCCAGCAGCCGCGGUAAUACGGAAGGUCCAGGCGUUAUCCGGAUUUAUUGGGUUUAAAGGGAGCGUAGGCUGGAGAUUAAGUGUGUUGUGAAAUGUAGACGCUCAACGUCUGAAUUGCAGCGCAUACUGGUUUCCUUGAGUACGCACAACGUUGGCGGAAUUCGUCGUGUAGCGGUGAAAUGCUUAGAUAUGACGAAGAACUCCGAUUGCGAAGGCAGCUGACGGGAGCGCAACUGACGCUUAAGCUCGAAGGUGCGGGUAUCGAACAGG